UCUAAUGUGGCAGAUAAGUGCAAUGGAUUUAAGCUCCAUACAUAGAGGUGUGUCCUCUCAUUAGAA
rnacentral:tRNA from 3 species